rnacentral:rRNA from 1 species
UGGCGACCGGCGCACGGGUGAGUAACGCGUAUCCAACCUGCCCUUUACUAUGGGACAGCCCGUCGAAAGGCGGAUUAAUACCGUAUGUUGUCAUGUUGAUGCAUAUUUUCAUGACCAAAGGCUUCGGCCGGUAAAGGAUGGGGAUGCGUCUGAUUAGCUUGCCGGCGGGGUAACGGCCCACCGGGGCGACGAUCAGUAGGGAUUCUGAGAGGAAGGUCCCCCACAUUGGAACUGAGACACGGUCCAAACUCCUACGGGAGGCAGCAG